CAUUACAGGAAGCCGAAAGGCAACUUCAAACCAUUGCGAACGUAUCCUAGUUGCUUCGGCGGCGCGGGACCCCUCGGGGGACCGCAGCCCACGCCCUCCGGGGCGAGGGGCGCCCGCCGGAGGUCACAAACUCUCGUGUAUUACAGUGGCGUCUCUGAGUAAAAAAAAAUGAGUCAAAACUUUCAACAACGGAUCUCUUGGUUCUGGCAUCGAUGAAGAACGCAGCGAAAUGCGAUAAGUAAUGUGAAUUGCAGAAUUCAGUGAAUCAUCGAAUCUUUGAACGCACAUUGCGCCCGCUAGUACUCUAGCGGGCAUGCCUGUUCGAGCGUCAUUUCAACCCUCAAGCCCGGCUUGGUGUUGGGGCCCUACGGCUGCCGUAGGCCCUGAAAGGAAGUGGCGGGCUCGCUACAACUCCGAGCGUAGUAAUUCGUUUUCUCGCUAUGGACGUUGCGGCGGUGCUCCUGCCGUUAAAGACCCAUCUUUAACCAAAGGUUG
rnacentral:rRNA from 1 species